AGAGUGAACGCUGGCGGUAGGCCUAACACAUGCAAGUCGAACGGCAGCACAGUAGGAGCUUGCUCUUACGGGUGGCGAGUGGCGGACGGGUGAGGAAUACAUCGGAAUCUACCUUUUGGUGGGGGAUAACGUAGGGAAGCUUACGCUAAUACCGCAUACGCCCUUCGGGGGAAAGCCGGGGACCAGCAAUGGCCUGGCGCUGAUAGAUGAGCCGAUGUCGGAUUAGCUAGUUGGUGAGGUAAUGGCUCACCAAGGCGACGAUCCGUAGCUGGUCUGAGAGGAUGAUCAGCCACACUGGAACUGAGACACGGUCCA
rnacentral:rRNA from 1 species